UUUAUAAGUAACAAGGGAGCAGACAAAGGUGAUUAGAACACAAUGGCAUGUCCAGUCUGUAAAUCUUUAAACCAUGAAGAUGGUUGUAUAGUUCAGGAAUUGGGCUUCUUUUUAUUAUGGGCGGUCCUAUCACUCAGAUGCCCACUUCUCACUGGACCUGUUGGCUGGCUGGCAUGAUUUGCUGUUGGUGAUGAGGCGGUCAGGGUGACGUUGCAGGGCUAUGGUCGGCUCUCUGUGAGCUCAACGUUUAGAUUGCUCUGUAUGGUUUGUACCCUGAAUAAUCUAGAUAAUUGUAAAAUGUAGGCACGGUUUUGUAUUGAAUGAUUUUAGGUAUUAAGUUGUUGUCGGACGUACAUGGUAGUUUGGUUCUUCGUACGGUUUUGAGUGAUAUAACUUGUACACACUGGGUGCAUAAUAAUGUAAAGGUACACUGAAUAGUAGUAAUGACCAACAGCAACAAACUGAUCUCCUCAAGGUAAGUCUGUUGGCUGUGUUUUAAUGAAGACCAUCGCUGGACUUCAGGAUCUUCCUCCGUUCAGCUCAAGGUGAGGCGCUGGUUCUGUUUUUUCUUUGGUUGGUUCCGGCUGGAAUGUUCGGAUUCCAGUUGGACGGUUUGUGCUUCCCGCCGUGGAAGGUUCUGAGUGCGGUCAUUUGAUUUAGUCCCAAUGGUUAGCAUAGAACGUUCAGGAUUGUAUUUGCGUAACCUCGAGCCGUUUGAUAUUAAAUACAUACUGACACGUACGUCGUACAAUAUGUUCAUUUCCGAUGGUUGCGCCGUACUUUUAACCACGAUGACGUGACGGGACUCUCGCUGCGUACAAAACGGCGUUCUACUUGCGGGCCCAUUUUUUACAUCAGUGAUGGAUGAAAAUCUUUUCAAGGCUGCAUUUCAACCAAACCCAGCACCUGAAUAAGGCUGAGUAUAUUUGAUUUAAUAUCGAUACUGCUGAGUGUUCUUUGUUACUUCAGCUUUUGUAUGUUCUAAUUAUCUGCUGUUAUUAAUUGCCACAGAAGUUAAACCCUACCAAAUGGAAUAACGUUAAACAACGACUUUGGUGCAGAGUUACCAACUGGAUAAUAUCAAAGCUAAAAGAAUGGCCGUCCUUCCCACAUGUUACAGUAGAAGAUACUCUAGAACUGUACAAGGUUAAAAAGGUAACAUGUAGUUUGUCCCAAGGUGUCUGCCUCCUCACCCAGAGCAAGACCUCCACCUCCUCACCCAGAGCAAGACCUCCACCUCCUCAUCCAGAGCCAGACCUCCACCUCCUGUCAAAAGUCCUCCAGAACAGCUGAAAGAUGAGGCUGAGAGGCUGGGGACCGGAGGCUUGUGGUGCCAGGAUGGACUAGAGACUGAGGCUGGAGACCAGGGGCCUGCAGCACCGGACCAGAGGGUAACCAUCACCAAGCUCAUCUGAAACACUAAAAUCCACGGUAGUUUAGGUCUGGUUUUGAUAAUCUUAUGACUUUAAAUCUGUGCCAAGCUGUGAUUUGAGUUAAUUCAUACGGGCGCUAUGUAAGAGUCAUAUGAGCCAUUAUUGUUACUAGUGCUGCUACGACCGUAGUGGAUGAAUUGCUGAACGCGACAAUCUGCAGACGUUGUCUAAUUUAAGUGUUUAAAUAUGUUUUAAUUUGUCUUCACUUUUACAAGUGAACUUCAGAUGCAGGUGGUGGGGUGUGUUGCGUCCCCAGGUGAUUUACUGCUGAGACCAGUGUUUGUUCCAGACCAGGACUCUGGCUGAGGUGAGCUGAUGGAGGAGCCAAGACUCUGGAGGACGACAUCACUCUGCCAACCAGAAUCCUCGAAUCUGGAGGACUGAUGGACAAGCCGUACAUCUGGAAGGCAAAUCCUGAGGACAACCAGGACUCUACCAUCAAGGAUUCCUCGCAGAAACACCUGAGCUGAACCUCACCUGAUCCUGUUUGGUCGGGGGGUAGACACACCUGAGCUGAACCCGCCCUGAUCCUGGCAUCCUGCUGGUCCCGUCUCCUCAGUUCAUCUGCGCCUCAUCCUCCAGAAGACCUGCUGAGCUCAGCAGUCUGAGGCUAAUGUAUCAAUGACCUCCAGUGGGAGUCAUCUUCUUGACCCCACAUGUAACGUGAUUCGACACGCCUUUCCCUCACGUCUUUCACUAACCUCACUACUUCACUACUCUCUACUGCUUCUUCUUCCUUCUCUGUUGUUCGAACCUUUACACUGAAGGCGCGUCUUCCUGCCCUCAGAGGGUUCUGCGUUAGGGUUGAGAGUCAGGGUUUAGAGUCAGGGACAGAGCUGGUCAGGGAGGACUGCUUUUACACAAACCUCUUCACCACCUUUCGGAAUGGUGGUGACAUUUUGAAAAGAUUCAUUUGGGAAAAUGUUUUCCUCUGCUUUCCUUUACAAAAUUGUAUUAAACUUCUGUCAAGUGUUUUUGUUUAUAUAUUAAAAUCCCACAUUGACUUCUACAGUGGUGGGGUGUGUUGCGUCCCCAGGUGAUUUACUGCUGAGACCAGUGUUUGUUCCAGACGGGACUCUGGCUGAGGUGAGCUGAUGGAGGAGCCAAGACUCUGGAGGACGACAUCACUCUACCAACCAGGAUCCUCACCAGGAAUCUGGAGGACUGAUGGACAAGCCGUACUUCUGGAAGGCAAAUCCUGAGGACAACCAGGACUCUACCAUCAAGGAUUCCUCACACACCUGAGCUGAACCUCACCUGAUCCUGUUUGGUCGGGGGUAGACGCACCUGAGCUGAACCCGCCCUGAUCCUGACAUCCUGCUGGUCCCGUCUCCUCAGUUCAUCUGCGCCUCAUCCUCCAGAAGACCUGCUGAGCUCAGCAGUCUGAGGCUGAUUUAUCAAUGACCUCCAGUGGGAGUGAUCUUCUUGACCCCACAUGUAACGUGAUUCGACACGCCUUUCCCUCACGUCUUUCACUAACCUCACUACUUCACUACUCUCUACUGCUUCCUCUUCUUCUUCCUUCUCUGUUGUUCGAACCUUUACACUGAAGGCGCGUCUUCCUGCCCUCAGAGGGUUCUGCGUUAGGGUUGAGAGUCAGGGUUUAGAGUCAGGGACAGAACUGGUCAGGGAGGACUGCUUUUACACAAACCUCUUCACCACCUUCCGGAAUGGUGGUGACAUUUUGAAAAGAUUAAUUUGGGAAAAUGUUUUCCUCUGCUUUCCUUUACAAAAUGGUAUUGAACUUCUGUCAAGUGUUUUUGUUUAUACAUUAAAAUCCCACAUUGACUUCUACAUGUUUGGUGCGGUUAAUUUAAUUGUCCUUUAACUUGGUUAAUGUCAAGCUAAACUGCAUUACAUUUAAUAUACAUGAUUGUUAUUCAGCAAUGUUCACAUAAUCCAUUUUGUAAAAAUAUUAAACCUCCAUAUUACUACAAAAUUCAAGCCUAUUCAUGUAUUUAACAAUGUACAUACUGCCCUUUAGGCCAUUCUCUGCUAAUACAAC
ensembl:lncRNA